AUUGAACGCUGGCGGCAUGCUUUACACAUGCAAGUCGAACGGUAACAGGCCGCAAGGUGCUGACGAGUGGCGAACGGGUGAGUAAUGCAUCGGAACGUGCCCAGUCGUGGGGGAUAACGCAGCGAAAGCUGCGCUAAUACCGCAUACGAUCUGUGGAUGAAAGCGGGGGACCGUAAGGCCUCGCGCGAUUGGAGCGGCCGAUGUCAGAUUAGGUAGUUGGUGGGGUAAAGGCUCACCAAGCCGACGAUCUGUAGCUGGUCUGAGAGGACGACCAGCCACACUGGGACUGAGACACGGCCCAGACUCCUACGGGAGGCAGCAGUGGGGAAUUUUGGACAAUGGGCGCAAGCCUGAUCCAGCAAUGCCGCGUGCAGGAAGAAGGCCUUCGGGUUGUAAACUGCUUUUGUACGGAACGAAAAGGCUCUGGUUAAUACCUGGGGCUCAUGACGGUACCGUAAGAAUAAGCACCGGCUAACUACGUGCCAGCAGCCGCCGUAAAAC
rnacentral:rRNA from 1 species